GUAAGAGUGAACAUCGGGCUGCCGGCAGGCCCCUGGCCUCAUUGUUUAUUUACAGAAAGGCCUUGAGGAACAGAGAAGGGGAGGAAACACAAAGGAUGUGUUUCUGUGAAGUGGAACAAUGAGAAUUUCUGGAUUAUGGAAAUGAUGAAGGAAAAGUUGCAAUUUUGUUCAUCUACUGUAAACAGACACCUUCCUUAUAGACUUCCCAGCUCAGAUCCUACUUCCUAUGUGGGACUUCUCCAAAUUUCUGAUGACAAUAUCACAGUGACCACCCAGUGGCUGUCAUCUCCAACAAUCGUUUACAGAGAAGGAGAGGGCAUCCCAAAACCGCUGAUAGCUCAUUGGAAGAUUGAAGCAAGGCAUGGCAAGUAUUACCACGGCGCGCAGUG
rnacentral:lncRNA from 1 species